GUGUUUACUAUAGGAACUCAUAUGGUAAAUUCAGGGUUAUAUAGAGAAAAUUAGCUUGGCUCUUUACAAGGAUGACUGGCAAACUUGUAAAGUGGUCUAUAUUUUG